rnacentral:rRNA from 1 species
UAAUACGUAGGGUGCGAGCGUUAAUCGGAAUUACUGGGCGUAAAGCGUGCGCAGGCGGUUUUGUAAGCCAGUCGUGAAAUCCCCGGGCUCAACCUGGGAAUGGCGAUUGGGACUGCAAGGCUUGAGUAUGGCAGAGGAGACUGGAAUUCCUGGUGUAGCAGUGAAAUGCGUAGAUAUCAGGAGGAAUACCGAUGGCGAAGGCAGGUCUCUGGGCUGAUACUGACGCUCAUGCACGAAAGCGUGGGGAGCAAACAGGAUUAGAUACCCUGGUAGUCCACGCCCUAAACGAUGUCGACUGGUUGUUGGGGGUUUGACACCUUCAGUAACGAAGCUAACGCGUGAAGUCGACCGCCUGGGGAGUACGGCCGCAAGGUUAAAACUUAAAGGAAUUGACGG